rnacentral:rRNA from 1 species
UACAGAGGGUGCGAGCGUUAAUCGGAAUUACUGGGCGUAAAGCGUGCGUAGACGGCUAUCUAAGUCGGGUGUGAAAGCCCCGGGCUCAACCUGGGAAUUGCAUUCGAGACUGAAUAGCUAGGGUACGGUAGAGGGAAGCGGAAUUUCCGGUGUAGCGGUGAAAUGCGUAGAUAUCGGAAGGAACAUCAGUGGCGAAAGCGGCUUCCUGGACCAGUACCG